rnacentral:rRNA from 1 species
CAAACUGAAGAUGGCGACCGGCGCACGGGUGAGUAACACGUAUCCAACCUGCCGAUAACUCCGGAAUAGCCUUUCGAAAGAAAGAUUAAUACCGGAUAGUAUACGAAUAUCGCAUGAUUAUUUUAUUAAAGUAAUUUUCGGUUAUCGAUGGGGAUGCGUUCCAUUAGUUUGUUGGCGGGUAACGGCCCACCAAGACUACGAUGGAUAGGGGUUCUGAGAGGAAGGUCCCCCACAUUGGAACUGAGACACGGUCCAA